rnacentral:rRNA from 1 species
UGAGGAAUAUUGGUCAAUGGUCGGGAGACUGAACCAGCCAAGCCGCGUGAGGGAUGAAGGUACAGAGUAUCGUAAACCUCUUUUGUCAGGGGACAAAAGGCGCCACGCGUGGCGCUCCGAGUGUACCUGAAGAAAAAGCAUCGGCUAACUCCGUGCCAGCAGCCGCGGUAAUACGGAGGAUGCGAGCGUUAUCCGGAUUUAUUGGGUUUAAAGGGUGCGUAGGCGGCGAGUUAAGUCAGCGGUAAAAGCCCGGGGCUCAACCCCGGCCCGCCGUUGAAACUGGCUUGCUUGAGUUGGAGAGAAGUAGGCGGAAUGCGCGGUGUAGCGGUGAAAUGCUUAGAUAUCGCGCAGAACUCCGAUUGCGAAGGCAGCCUACCGGCUCCAGACUGACGCUGAGGCACGAAAGCGUGGGUAUCGAACAGGAUUAGAUACCC